rnacentral:rRNA from 1 species
AUUGAACGCUGGCGGCAGGCUUAACACAUGCAAGUCGAGCGGAGCGAGGGUGCUUGCACCUUAGCUUAGCGGCGGACGGGUGAGUAAUGCUUAGGAAUCUGCCUAUUAGUGGGGGACAACAUUCCGAAAGGAAUGCUAAUACCGCAUACGCCCUACGGGGGAAAGCAGGGGAUCUUCGGACCUUGCGCUAAUAGAUGAGCCUAAGUCGGAUUAGCCAGUAGGUGGGGUAAAGGCCUACCAAGGCGACGAUCUGUAGCGGGUCUGAGAGGAUGAUCCGCCACACUGGGACUGAGACACGGCCCAGACUCCUACGGGAGGCAGCAGUGGGGAAUAUUGGACAAUGGGCGGAAGCCUGAUCCAGCCAUGCCGCGUGUGUGAAGAAGGCCUUUUGGUUGUAAAGCACUUUAAGCGAGGAGGAGGCUACUUAGAUUAAUACUCUAGGAUAGUGGACGUUACUCGCAGAAUAAGCACCGGCUAACUCUGUGCCAGCAGCCGCCGUAACAC